rnacentral:lncRNA from 1 species
GUGAAUAUUCAAAGUUGAGAAGUAAAGCAUUUGCACGCAUAGGUCAAAGAUUCAACAUAUCUAAGACAUUUGAAACUUGGCAAUUUAAGUUUUGACAGUCUAGACAUCUUUACAAAGUGAAAUAUGGUGAAGGGGCCAUAACAUAUUUAUCAUCCAAAUCAACUUUGCAAAGACUCUAUGAAAAGAAAUCGGAAAACUUUCCCAAAAGAAGCAAGUUUUCGAACAUCGAGACUACUAAAUUAGUGCAUAUGGAUCUCUAUAGAUCGCUUCAGCCUGUAUAAUUUGAUUAAAGUAAUUACUUCAUGUUAUUUAUUCAUGACUUUUCUCGUAAAAUAUUAGGUCAUUUUCUUAGAGAAAAGUUUGAUGCAAUUGAAGCUUACAAGAAUUUCAAGGCGAUGUUGAAUAAUCAAAGUGGUCACAAGAUCAAAACCUUAUGUUCAUAUCGUGGUUGUGAAGAUAUUAGCAACACAUUCCAAAAUUUUUCUUUAGAUCAUGGCAUUUUAUCAUUUAUUGAUGUUCACAUCUUCUAAACAAGUGGCAUAGUAGAGAAAAGAAUAUUACUAUCGUGAAAAUGACUCAAAGUAUACGAAAACUAAGAAGAUGCCGAAGAUGCCAAAAAUGUUCUUAAAUGAAAUUGCAAAAAAGUGGAAAAAAUGACACAUCAAGAAGCAUGGAGGGAAUUCAAGCAAAGUAUAUUACAUCUUCGAGUUUUCAAGAGCAUUGCUUUAUCUCAUAUUUCGAAAGAAAGGACAAAACUAGAAGACAAGAGAAGGGGGUCUGCUGGAAACCCUCACCUUCGGCUCCAUACUGAUCAGGCCGGCCGAAAUGGAAAUAUAUCUUAAUAGACUAUGAUUCAAGAUCAAAAGACUACAAGCUCUCACAAUAAAUAAGAAGGUGAUCACAAGUAGAGAUGUUGAGUUCGACAUUGAAAUUGGGCAAGAAAAUUAUUAUUUCUCCAAGAACUUGAAAGGCUUACCACCGGAUCAAAGGCAAAGCACUUCUACGAUUGGCUUCUUCUUUGCCACAGCGAAUAUGUCGAUUCGUAUCAAUGGUGGUCCAUCUCGCUUUUUCUCAUGCUUGAAACAACUUAUUCUUCUUCGAACUCAAAUGCCCCCAUAAUGGUAGUAGAAUUCUUUUUUUUUUUUUUUUACUCAUCCCCAAUGAAUGGCGUUCUAAAGCUCUCAAUCAAGCAAAGACUUCCUAUACCGUACUAAAGCUAAAUCAGUGUGGACAUAAAUUGGGACAUACCGUCAAUGAUCUUAGUUAAACCAAUUAGGAAACGAUUUUCUCUUUGCCAUUAAGUAGGAGACGCGACAUUGGAUAAGGAAAAAGAAGUUGAGAACAAAGUGAUGUGAUUCCGCCUUAAUUAAUACCAUCAGCUCUACCUCCAAGAUAUAUCUUCAUCUUCAACAUCCUCAUGUAAAAUACCACAAUGUUUUAGAAGUUUUAUUUUAAUGAUACUGAAGUGUUAUCUCAACAUCUUAAGGAAUUAACAUUAUUUUGUCCAUUUGGCCAUCAUGUGAUUAUUGGUUUCGAUGAUGC